GAGGCGGCCGGCGCGGGCAGCGUGAGUCAGCGCGAUUAGCGCGGCGCUCCGCCGCUCGGAAAGGCCCCGCGCUGCGCAGCGCCGCUCGGAAAUAAUCCGCGGUAUUCUAAACAACUGAGGGAGAGUUUCAAAAUUAUGCAAUUUGGGGACUUUCCAAGAAAACAGUUCGUUUCUUGCGCUGUUUCCCGCAUCCUCCCCGUCUGGCGAGCCGCUCCUAAAUGGCGCUGCAGCUCCCGUGGCAGUUCGGUAGUACUGACUUCGGGUAUGCCCGCGGUUGGUUGGUAAGCAAAAAAAAAAAAAAAAAAAUUUUUUUACACAAUGUAAAGAGAAAGGAGUCCCUCACCGGCGGCCCCCGGGAGCUGUAGGUCCCGUGGAGCGCGCUGACGGCGGCCGCCAAAGGGAACGCUGCGCUUAUGGUCACCAGAGAAGCGUUAUGCAAUGGAAAAAAAAUCACACGCUGAAAUGGUCGUUGGCCGUCAACGCACAGAGCGCAGAUUCCCGCACAGCUCGAGGCUCGGCCUCUCCGGGAAGCAAUCCUGGCAGCCGUACCGCUCCGCCCUGUAGGCGCUGAACAGACGUCGCUCCGAAAACACAGUGCCUCCUGCGGGGCGGGCUGGGAGGAUCGCGUUAUGUUAUUCAGCUCACUUUGGUCCACCAAGUGGAGUGCCCAGCCUGUAAAUACCAGUCAAAAUAGAGAUGAAGAAUUUAGAAACAGUACUGGUAUCUAUCUGAAGGAAAUUCAACUCUCAUUGGAUGUGGAUACAAUCCUAAAUUUUGUAAGACAGGCAAAACCACUGAUGCCAACAUACUCAACAUACAAAGAAGCGAUCAUCACUUGGUGGGAGUGAGACCUCACGGUGCUGGUGGGGUGUCACGUUGGUGCUGUGCAUCAGUCGGCGGGUGCCAACAGGACAGGGAGGAAACUUCACACUUCAGUCAGCUUUCAGCCUGCAGCCUCCUGGCUCCUGAGAAAAGUUCAGAUCUCUGCUAUUCAGAAGUGCCAGAGAUGAAUCACCAGUAUAGGGUGAAGACAGUCUUCCUCCCUACUGCCUCUCAUUAUCUCCUUUCUACAGUUUUUACUUUUUGUUGCCUGUUCAUCUGUGUGAGUUUAGAGAUACGGAUUUAAAAAAAUCCGGAUUAAAAAAAAUUUUUAAAAAAAUAAUAGUUUAAUAAAUAAGAAAUAAACAUCUUGGUUACAUGGUAAUCAAGCCAUCCUUCAAGGAAGCCAAAUCCAUCUUUACAGUUUUCCCAUAACUAGAUGUGGAUAUGUAGAAGCUGAACAUUAUGACCAUGAAAGGGAAUGGGUCAGAAGAGGUUGUGUAUAAGCAAACUACGCUGUGACAGAAUGAUUAAAUUAGCAGCUGGCGAAGACAAAGAAUUUGUUAAAGCUUAAGUCGUGGUGAUAAAAUGGGACAGAAGUCUUACCACAAAGUUAUUUUAUGGGUGAUAGUCAGUAUAAUGGGAAAAGAAAUUCUUUAGCUAGCUGCAGUGUUGGACAGAUUUUUCUGAUAGCUAUAGAAGGUUUGCAGCAAUAUUACCUGCACUAUCUUGAAGCAAUUUUAUUUCCAUGUAAUCACAGAAAAGUCAGAGAGUUUGCGUUCAAUACCAGUUAAUAAUUAUAAACCAUUUUUGCAUGUAAAUAAAUUAAAUAGGAAUACAUAGUAAAAGGUGAUGUGCUUAAAAAACCUUAUUUGGGUAAAUGUAAUUAAAUCUUAUAUUCUGGAGAAAGACAGAGUCCACAGUUAAAACAAUCCAAUAGAUUAUAUCAUUUUAUAUUAGAUAUAAAAUAUUAUUGAA